rnacentral:lncRNA from 1 species
CGCAAAAAUAGACAAGUCUGUCAUCGCUUUCUCAUCCUUGCAUCAAACCUCUAACACAAAGUUAUAAGUCUACUGAAGAAUGUUGGAAACAUGAUGAGCUACUAAAUUCUUCACAUUGUGACCGUCUAGGACUGGAGCUAAAUAGCUGUGGCUUUUGUGGAUCCAUGAAGUUCAGCAGAAGCCCAAAAUAAAGGAUCAUCAUCGCCACUGCCGGAUGGGCAUUAAGAUAAUACACACCUGAAGGCUCCAGACCAACAAACUGCUAAAACAUAUACUGACGGUCAGUUAAGGUCUUUCCAUCAUAUGUAGGACAGACCCAGUCGUGGCAUUCACACCGCGGUCCAUAGAACGUUCCUGGUUCUGUGACCUGGCAUAUGCAGAUUCCACACUCGCAUGUGCCUCUCCCGCUACAGAUCAAGCCGUCGGAGGUCCGACAGCGCCUCAGCGAUGAUUCAGGAGAGAUCUUACACUCUCCACCCACCUGCCUGCAAGACACAAACGCAUUCAGUCACCUCUGCGACCUUUGCCUUCCACAUCAAACCCCUGUUCUUCCCCUGUAGGUGAACAUAUGCCAGAUGGUGGAUGGGUGGGUGGUGGUUUGCAAGGCUCCCUUCCAAUAGUAAUGACAACCAGACUCCCUCUCACUAUCUAGAGGAAAAAUAUUUUUCUGAGGAUUAUAUUUUGGAGGAUUUCCUGUCAGUAUUUUCUUGUAAGGUUAUGAGUUAAUAUUUAAAGUUAAAUAGUCCUGAGAGAUAAAUGAUAAAAUAACUACCGUCAUGUGGAAAACACUGCUUCUGUGUAAAAGGAACCAUGAGUCAUAGGCUAUAAGCAAUCCCUUUAUAGUCUCUGUACAUAAAAAUAUGACUGAUCUAAAUGUAUAAUAUAAUAUAAUAUAAUAUAAUAUAAUAUAAUAUAAUAUAAUAUAAUAUAAUAUAAUAUAAUAUAAUAUAAUAUAAUAU